AGAAUGCCCAAUUAGUUGUUCAAAACUACUAAUUGAAUCAAGAGUGAUCUUGAUUAUUGUGGUUUAAGUGAUAAUCAUAUAAGAAACGUUUUUCUUAUUACUUAUAUCAUUAUAAUGUGAUCUUCCUUUUCUUUAAGAAAGGAAUAUCUAGACCUUUGUCAAUUCAUAUAGAACUCAUAGGUAGACAAUUGGAACCAAAUCUAAAGAUUCAUUGUAUCCUUUUAUGUCCUACAUGUGAGAUCUAUCCAUAAUUGAUAAGUCUAAAGUUUGGUUAUCACAUUACAAUAAGUGAUAUAAAUCUUGUAUCUCAACUAGGAUACAACAAGACAAUAUUCAAUUCAUAACACUACUUUAAGGAAAUAAUAUAUUAGAAGGCAUUCAUCACAUUACAUUGAUAUGAUAAUUCAAACAUUCAUAAUGUUUAAUACAAAAAGAAUUAGCUCUAUACAUUUAGAGACUAAUUAUAUACCUUCAUUUAGGCACCAAUAGUGGUCUUCCAUCAUAUGAAGCCACAUUAUAAGUUCUUAACAAAAUAAGAAAGUUUAAAGACUAUCUUUAAGUGCCUAACAAACUUCCUAAGUAGUUAGCAAAAAUAUGGUGGCCGAACCCUUCUCCAACCUUUUCCUUGCUUGUUCAUCUUCUACUUGGCUCCUCCACCUAUAUACAAUUAUAUAAGUGAUUAGCUCUUUAUAUCAAAUAUAAAUAUUUAGAAGAUCUAACAAUUAGAAUUGAAGAUAAGAACAUAAACCAUACCUUGUGGUUUGUCCUUUAGAGUUGCAAGGUAUAACCUGCAAUUCCUCUUGCCCCUCCUUUCCACAUUGGUGGCAAGUCCCUUUGGGCUCCUUUGCCUUCUUUUUCCUCACUCCUCCUUGCGGCUUAGGAGUGGGUGACUUCUUCUCCUUCCCUUUACCUUUGCCUUGCGGCUUGGCCUUGGAAGAGGAUGGCUUGUUG
rnacentral:lncRNA from 1 species